rnacentral:rRNA from 1 species
CCUACGGGCGGCAGCAGUGAGGAAUAUUGGUCAAUGGGCGCGAGCCUGCACCAGCCAAGUAGCGUGAAGGAUGACUGCCCUACGGGUUGUAAACUUCUUUUAUCAAGGAAUAAAGUGAGGCACGUGUGCCUUUUUGUAUGUACUUUAUGAAUAAGGAUCGGCUAACUCCGUGCCAGCAGCCGCGGUAAUACGGAGGAUGCGAGCGUUAUCCGUGUUUAUUGGGUUUAAAGGGAGCGUAGAUGGGUUGGUAAGUCAGUUGUUAAAGUUUGCGGCUCAACCGUAAAAUUGCAAUUGAAACUGGCAGCCUCGAGUACAGUUGAGGUAGGCGGAAUUCGUGGUGUAGCGGUGAAAUGCUUAGAUAUCACGAAGAACUCCGAUUGCGAAGGCAGCCUACUAACCUGCCACUGACAUUGAUGCUCGAAAGUGUGGGUAUCAAACAGGAUUAGAUACCCCUGUAGUC